UCAACGCUGGCGGCGUGCCUAACACAUGCAAGUCGAACGAGAAAGGAGACUUCGGUCUCUGAGUAAAGUGGCGAACGGGUGAGUAACGCGUGGGUAACCUGCCCUUAGGUUGGGGAUAACUCGGGGAAACCCGGGAUAAUACCGGAUAAGCCCUUGGAUUUGUUUUCAAGGGGAAAGCUUUCGAGUGCCUUUGGAGGGGCCCGCGUCCGAUUAGCUAGUAGGGGAGGUAAGAGCUUCCCUAGGCGACGAUCGGUAGCCGGUCUGAGAGGACGGACGGCCACACUGGGACUGAGACACGGCCCAGACUCCUACGGGAGGCAGCAGUGGGGAAUUUUGCGCAAUGGGGGAAACCCUGACGCAGCAACGCCGCGUGGAGGAAGAAGGCUUUCGAGUCGUAAACUCCUGUCCCCGGGGACGAAGCAAGUGACGGUACCCGGGGAGGAAGCCCCGGCUAACUCC
rnacentral:rRNA from 1 species